GAUGAACGCUGGCGGCGUGCCUAAUACAUGCAAGUCGAGCGAACGGACGAGAAGCUUGCUUCUCUGAUGUUAGCGGCGGACGGGUGAGUAACACGUGGAUAACCUACCUAUAAGACUGGGAUAACUUCGGGAAACCGGAGCUAAUACCGGAUAAUAUUUUGAACCGCAUGGUUCAAAAGUGAAAGACGGUCUUGCUGUCACUUAUAGAUGGAUCCGCGCUGCAUUAGCUAGUUGGUAAGGUAACGGCUUACCAAGGCAACGAUGCAUAGCCGACCUGAGAGGGUGAUCGGCCACACUGGAACUGAGACACGGUCCAGGCUCCUACGGGAGGCAGCAGUAGGGAAUCUUCCGCAAUGGGCGAAAGCCUGACGGAGCAACGCCGCGUGAGUGAUGAAGGUCUUCGGAUCGUAAAACUCUGUUAUUAGGGAAGAACAUAUGUGUAAGUAACUGUGCACAUCUUAACGGUACCUAAUCAGAAAGCCACGGCUAACUACGUG
rnacentral:rRNA from 1 species